rnacentral:rRNA from 1 species
CGGUAACACGUGAGCAACCUACCGAACUGUGGGGGAGUAGCCGGCCUAACGGCCGAGUAAUACCGCAUACGCUCUCAGAGAGGCAUUUCUUUUGGGAGGAAACCUACGGGACAGAUCGAGGGGCUCGCGGCCUAUCAGCUAGUUGGCGAGGUAACGGCUCACCAAGGCAACGACGGGUAGCUGGUCUGAGAGGAUGGCCAGCCACAUUGGGACUGAGAUACGGCCCAG